ensembl:lncRNA
GUUCCUAAUGUCUGUUGCUGUUGUUUUGAAACAGGUGCCACGGAGAGAGGACGUCCUGCCAUAAAAUCCUAAUUGACCAGUCAGCAGGCUUUACCUGGAAGCUAGCAUUUGCUCCUCUGCAGUGGUUUUUAGUGCUCUUUCUGCAAACCUCAGUGAGCCACAGCGGCGCAGGCCGCUGCCUGGUUUGAACUCAAAAGAAAAUAGAAUAUUUCCAAAACUUGGAUGACCAAUGAAAAGUGAGAAUGAAGACGGCGAGUCAGAGAAGAAGAACCAUGGAAAGUACAACCCGA